UUUGCGUGAGCGAUUGAAGUGGAAAGCCCGGAACGGAGUGAGGACUUGAAACGGAAAGCGCGACAGCGG
rnacentral:misc_RNA from 1 species